rnacentral:rRNA from 1 species
ACUCCUACGGGAGGCAGCAGUAGGGAAUCUUCCACAAUGGACGAAAGUCUGAUGGAGCAACGCCGCGUGAGUGAAGAAGGGUUUCGGCUCGUAAAACUCUGUUGUUAAAGAAGAACAUAUCUGAGAGUAACUGUUCAGGUAUUGACGGUAUUUAACCAGAAAGCCACGGCUAACUACGUGCCAGCAGCCGCGGUAAUACGUAGGUGGCAAGCGUUGUCCGGAUUUAUUGGGCGUAAAGCGAGCGCAGGCGGUUUUUAAGUCUGAUGUGAAAGCCUUCGGCUCAACCGAAGAAGUGCAUCGGAAACUGGGAAACUUGAGUGCAGAAGAGGACAGUGGAACUCCAUGUGUAGCGGUGAAAUGCGUAGAUAUAUGGAAGAACACCAGUGGCGAAGGCGGCUGUCUGGUCUGUAACUGACGCUGAGGCUCGAAAGUAUGGGUAGCAAACAGGAUUAGAUACCCUGGUAGGAUAGCGUAGUCGUAGGAACAAGGCACACA